CUGGCUCUAGGUUCGGGACAACCACUGGAAACGGUGGCUAAUACCGGGUAUGCCGAGAGGUGAAAGGUUAACUGCCUGGAGAUGAGCUCGCGUCUGAUUAGCUAGUUGGUGGUGUAAGGGACUACCAAGGCGACGAUCAGUAGCUGGUCUGAGAGGAUGAUCAGCCACACUGGAACUGAGACACGGUCCAGACUCCUACGGGAGGCAGCAGUGGGGAAUUUUCCGCAAUGGGCGAAAGCCUGACGGAGCAAUACCGCGUGAGGGAGGAAGGCUCUUGGGUUGUAAACCUCUUUUCUCAGGGAAUAAGCAAGUGAAGGUACCUGAGGAAUCAGCAUCGGCUAACUCCGUGCCAGCAGCCGCGGUAAUACGGAGGAUGCAAGCGUUAUCCGGAAUGAUUGGGCGUAAAGCGUCCGUAGGUGGCUGUGUGUGUCUAUUGUUAAAGAGUUUGGCUCAACCAAAUAAGGGCGGUAGAAACUACACAGCUAGAGUGCGUUCGGGGCAGAGGGAAUUCCUGGUGUAGCGGUGAAAUGCGUAGAGAUCAGGAAGAACACCGGUGGCGAAAGCGCUCUGCUAGGCCGCAACUGACACUGAGGGACGAAAGCUAGGGGAGCGAAUGGG
rnacentral:rRNA from 1 species